AUUGAACGCUGGCGGCAGGCCUAACACAUGCAAGUCGAGCGGUAGAGAGAAGCUUGCUUCUCUUGAGAGCGGCGGACGGGUGAGUAAUGCCUAGGAAUCUGCCUGGUAGUGGGGGAUAACGUUCGGAAACGGACGCUAAUACCGCAUACGUCCUACGGGAGAAAGCAGGGGACCUUCGGGCCUUGCGCUAUCAGAUGAGCCUAGGUCGGAUUAGCUAGUUGGUGAGGUAAUGGCUCACCAAGGCGACGAUCCGUAACUGGUCUGAGAGGAUGAUCAGUCACACUGGAACUGAGACACGGUCCAGGCUCCUACGGGAGGCAGCAGUGGGGAAUAUUGGACAAUGGGCGAAAGCCUGAUCCAGCCAUGCCGCGUGUGUGAAGAAGGUCUUCGGAUUGUAAAGCACUUUAAGUUGGGAGGAAGGGUUGUAGAUUAAUACUCUGCAAUUUUGACGUUACCGACAGAAUAAGCACCGGCUAACUCUGUGCCAGCAGCCGCCGCCG
rnacentral:rRNA from 1 species